GACGAGGGGUGCAAACGUUAUUCGGAAUGAUUGGGCGUAAAGGGUGCGCAGGCGGUAUAUUAAGUCAACUGUUAAAUUCCUCAGCUUAACUGAGGCGCAGCGGUAGAUACUGGUAUGCUUGAGAGUGGAAGAGAGAAGUGGAAUUCUCGGAGUAGCGGUAAAAUGCGUAGAUCUCGAGAGGAACACCGAUGGCGAAGGCAGCUUCUUGGUCCAUUUCUGACGCUCAUGCACGAAAGCGCGGGGAGCAAACAGG
rnacentral:rRNA from 1 species